ACAAAUCUGGAAGCAAAGGGUAAAUUGGUUGGAAGGGGCAGAGGGAAGGGGCUGCUCUGUGAUGAGUUGGGCUCUAUAGAGUUGCACUGGGUGCUUCUCCCUCGUGUUGUUGUGCUGCUGUGGGCCUGGAGCAAAGACUGACCUGACAGCUGGCCUCACAGAAAUAGUAGGGAACCUGUCUGCCUCACCUGGCCUGCCCUGCCAGAGCUCCAUUCAGACUGAUGGAAGGCAAAGGGGCUCAGGAGCAGAGCUGGGCACAGCAGGGACCAGCAGGAGUCAGUGACAAAUCAGCUCAGGAAAAAAAGGAAACGUUUAAUUUUUAUUAUUUAAUCACAGAUGGUGUAGGGGGAAAAAAAAAAAGAAAAAAAAAGCUGCACAAAGAGCAAGAGAGGGGUUGCACUAUAUAUAGAUGUACAGCUGUUUCCUUCAGGUGUUAUAACUCAAAAACGUAGGAUGAUUAAUUUUGAAAGUUGAAAUGUAUAGCAGAUUCUGAUUACAUCUGAGUGUCUAUAAUUUAGCUACUUAGUAAAAUUAACUUGACGUUUUUAGUGAGCUGUGAGGACAAUAAUGUGUGAAGAGACUGAAGAGCAAGUUUGACUGCAUGCUCUUUCCUUACCUCCCCCCCCUCACUUUUCAAUUUGCAAAGUUAAAAAUAAACUUUUUCACUUUUUUUCCUGCAUCUUUCCUUUAAUCCAGAUAAAUGAGUUUGCCUCCCCCUGCUGUCGGCUGCAGUCCAACGUUUUGCUUCGGAGCAUCUCAGAAGGAGAGGUUGAGCACUGUGCAGCCAGGAGCAGCAACAGAGCUUUGGGCAGCCCAGGUAAGUAGCAGCCCAGCUUGGGAUCUCAUUGUGCUUCAGAGAAAACCCAGUGCUGUGAUUUUUGUGAAAAUCAGGCAGCUCAGAAGCGUGUGGCUGUUGUUCUACCUUUAAUAAAUCCCCACCUGCACACACAACCCUUGUGGGGAGCACAGCCAGCAUUCAGUGAGCACAAACUCAUUUUCCAGUGAAAGCCUCUUGCUCUUGCCUCUUCUCCAGAGCGCAGCACGAAGGACCCAACAGAACCCAACCCUGUGCUGAGAUAUCCCACACCUCGUGCCAACCUCUGUGGAUGAUGAGGCAGUAGAGAAAAGGGCUGGAAGAUGGAUUGUGCUCUUGAUUCUUUCAGGACCUGUAUGACUACAACAACAAACAGCUGUAUAACACAAUAUAAAAUCUCAAGUGAGC